rnacentral:rRNA from 1 species
CAGUAGCCGCGGUAAUGCGAAGGGGGCUAGCGUUGUUCGGAUUUACUGGGUGUAAAGGGCGCGUAGGCGGACUGAUAAGCCAGGGGUGAAAUCCCAAGGCUCAACCUUGGAACUGCCUUUGAUACUGUUUGUCUUGAGUUCGAGAGAGGUAAGUGGAACUGCGAGUGUAGAGGUGAAAUUCGUAGAUAUUCGCAAGAACACCAGUGGCGAAGGCGGCUCACUGGACCAUUUCUGACGCUGAGGAGCGAAAGCGUGGGGAGCGAACAGGAUUAGAUACCCCAGUAGUCCCUGUCUCUUAUAC